UUUCGGAUCGUAAAGCUCUGUUGUUAGGGAAGAACAAGUACCGUUCGAAUAGGGCGGUACCUUGACGGUACCUAACCAGAAAGCCACGGCUAACUACGUGCCAGCAGCCGCGGUAAUACGUAGGUGGCAAGCGUUGUCCGGAAUUAUUGGGCGUAAAGGGCUCGCAGGCGGUUUCUUAAGUCUGAUGUGAAAGCCCCCGGCUCAACCGGGGAGGGUCAUUGGAAACUGGGGAACUUGAGUGCAGAAGAGGAGAGUGGAAUUCCACGUGUAGCGGUGAAAUGCGU
rnacentral:rRNA from 1 species